rnacentral:rRNA from 1 species
GACGAACGCUGGCGGCGUGCCUAAUACAUGCAAGUAGAACGCUGAAGAGAGGAGCUUGCUCUUCUUGGAAGAGUUGCGAACGGGUGAGUAACGCGUAGGUAACCUGCCUUGUAGCGGGGGAUAACUAUUGGAAACGAUAGCUAAUACCGCAUAACAAUGGGUGACCCAUGUCAUUCAUUUGAAAGGGGCAACUGCUCCACUACAAGAUGGACCUGCGUUGUAUUAGCUAGUAGGUGAGGUAACGGCUCACCUAGGCGACGAUACAUAGCCGACCUGAGAGGGUGAUCGGCCACACUGGGACUGAGACACGGCCCAGACUCCUACGGGAGGCAGCAGUAGGGAAUCUUCGGCAAUGGGGGCAACCCUGACCGAGCAACGCCGCGUGAGUGAAGAAGGUUUUCGGAUCGUAAAGCUCUGUUGUAAGUCAAGAGCGAGUGUGAGAGUGGAAAGUUCACACUGUGACGGUAGCUUACCAGAAAGGGACGGCUAACUACGUGCCAGCAGCCGCGGUAAUACGUAGGUCCCGAGCGUUGUCCGGAUUUAUUGGGCGUAAAGCGAGCGCAGGCGGUUUGAUAAGUCUGAAGUUAAAGGCUGUGGCUCAACCAUAGUUCGCUUUGGAAACUGUCAAACUUGAGUGCAGAAGGGGAGAGUGGAAUUCCAUGUGUAGCGGUGAAAUGCGUAGAUAUAUGGAGGAACACCGGUGGCGAAAGCGGCUCUCUGGUCUGUAACUGACGCUGAGGCUCGAAAGCGUGGGGAGCGAACAGG